ACCAAUGUAUACUCAACAUUCAAUGUGCACAAAUGCUGAGAACACCAAAGUUCAGCACAUUAUGAUGAAGGCAUUGUGCAAAGUGUCCUAAAUGUAGGCCAAAAGGAUGUUAUGCAGCUUGAUUCAGUAGAACCAUUAGAUGAAAGUGAAGUGGCAUCCACUAGUGAAAUGAGUACAACUGACGGUUUAGAAGAGCAGUUGCAGCACAAUCUAGCUGGCUUUUUCUUGAAAAUGCAGAGCAUUCUCCAUGUGUCCCAGAGAGCAACACAGGAGAUCAUUGAGUAGGGCUGGGGGUAAACGAUUAUUUUUAAAACGAUUAUUCUGACGAUUAUUUUAUCGAAUAGUCGACUAUUCUAAUGACUAUUUAGAAAAUUAAUCUAAUGAUUAUUUUUCUAUUGCACAAUUAACAAAAACCAGAAAAUCUCAAAUAAAUUCCUCAAAAAAAUUGAUAAAUUCUUACUGUAAGAGAAUAAACACUACAGGCCUUCCAUUUUGUAUAACACUGCUUUUAUUGUGUUGCGGUUGGUUAUGUUCUGGUGACGUGUAGAACUUGGGAGUGCAGGCUGCUGCCUGAGAGGUGGUAGAAGAUGGAGUGUCUCCAUGCUGCUUUGUUUUGGUCACUUAUGUGCGUGAGGCGAGUGGUGUUACGGGUUAAACCAAACUCAGGUGAUAUUUUACACUAAACCGAAAACCCACAACACUCUAAAUGUAAUAAAAGGGAGAUCUACACCACAAAAAAGAUGAACUCUAAACCAAAACGUAACAGCUUAUCCCAACGCAAGAAGCUGUUAGCGAAGAUGCUAACAGUAGCUUUACCAACGUUAAGUUCAAGUUACCAAGUUUAAAUAAACCAAAAACACCCAGCAGCAAACAGACCAGCACGGAGGAGAGACUGCUACCACCAAAACAGCUCUCCUCAUGUCUGAAAGAAGCUCCUUAAUGAAGGGAGAAGCGCUCCCGGUGAUUUUCUACAUCUGCUAUAGACACGAAGCAGCGCAUCUGACCCCGGAAGUUGUUGUCCGUUGCCGGGAGACGAAGGGGCAAAACAGGAAAAUAAUCUAGUAGUGGACGGACGUUGUUCCGGGUCUUCGGUAUUUGGCGGAGAUUUUAGUGAAGGCGGAGAAGAGGGCGAACUAGAGGAAAAACGGGCAGAUUCCUCCUCUAUUUACAAACUCCUGGGGAUGCAACAAGUGGGCGCGGUGCGUCGACUUCCGGAUCUGACGUCGACAAAUUUUUAGAAUCGAGCCGUCGACUUCGUCGAGGCUUCGCUACAGCCCUAUCAUUGAGCACAUUGAUCACCUGUUUUUGUUAACAGAACCUCUCAUUAAAACAUCAGUAGUUGAUAUACUGAAGAAGCAUAACUGUCUAUAUACUGACAAACUGGUCGAUGACAUUUGUCAGGCAGUUUCUGAUAGUAAUGUUUUACAUAAAUGUAUCACAUCUGGUGGACCACUGUCAACAGCAAAGAUGAGAAAAUCUUACUAUGAAGCAAACUUUCCGUAUGUCAAGCCUGUGGAGUAUUUAAUUGAAUCAUCAAAGCACACAUACAUGUAUGUGUCAAUUCUUACAUCUUUGCAAAUGUUGUUGAAAAAAACCGAAGUCCUUGAAAAAGUUCAACAAACACCCACUCAGAUACCUGGACAUUUCAUGUCAUUUUGUGAUGGAUCCUACUACCGGGAAAAUGUUCUACUCUCACAAGAGGGAACAAAACUUUCGAUAAUGCUUUAUGUGGAUGAUUUUGAAAUUGCAAACCCACUCGGUACUUCAAAGAAAAUACAUAAAGUUUUUGCAGUUUAUUGGACACUGGCAAACUUUCCAGUUAAAUCCCGUUCUGCUCUCCACUGCACUCAGCUUGCUCUCCUGUGCAACUCUAAUGAUGUGCGCCUGUUUGGGUUUAAGAAAAUGAUGUCACCACUCUUAAAUGAUCUGAAAACUCUUGAAGAAGUAGGCAUCUACAUUGAUACCCUUGGUGAAUGUCUUAAAGGCACUGUCUACUGUGUUGUGGCAGAUAACCUUGCCGCACAUGGGCUUGCUGGGUUCAAUGAGAGCUUCAGGUCUACACAUUUCUGCAGGUUUUGUCAUGCCACACAAAUAGAAAUGCAGACAAAAAAUGCAGUUACAGGGGAUUAUGUGCUGAGAACAAAGGAUCUUCAUGACAAUCUUUUACGAGAGCUUCAGAGCGAUGGCAGUGAGGGAAAUUGUGGUGUCAAAAACAGUUGUGUUCUUUCUGACCAUCUGUCAUUCUUCCAUCCUGUCACAGGCUUCCCACCUGACCUCCUGCACGACCUGUUUGAAGGCGUUGUUCCAGUGGAGAUAGCUCAUUGCUUAAAAGGUUUGAUUUCCAGUAAAUAUUUUACAUUAGAAGACUUAAAUCGAGCAAUAUUGCACUUUCCAUAUCAACAUUCUGACAAAGUUGAUCGCCCUCAUCCAAUACCCACUAAUUUUGCCAGUCGAGGGACCAUUGGUGGGAAUGCUCAUGAAAAUCAUGCCCUGCUUAUAAUGUUGCCUCUUCUCAUUGGCUCAAAAGUCCCAGAAAGAGACACGUUUUGGGAAGUGCUAAUGGAGUUAAAGGAUGUCGUUCAGCUUGCCAUGUCUCAGAUUUUUAAUGAAGAGACCAUUCAGUACUUGGCUUGUAAAAUAUUGGACCACCGGCAACUCUUCCAAGAAGUGUUUCCUAAUGUUCGAUUAAGGCCAAAGCAUCAUUACAUCGAGCAUUACCCACACUUGAUAAAAUGCUUUGGUCCCUUGGUCCACCUUUGGACAAUGAGAUUUGAGGGAAAGCAUAAGGUUUUCAAAAAAAUUAUUCAUGACACUCACAACUACAAAAAUGUGUUAAAAACUUUGGCAGAGCGACAUCAAAGUCAGAUGGCAUUUUAUUUGUCAUCCUCAAAGUUUUUCAAACCACAUGUUCAGACAUCCAAAAUGGAGUCUAUGUACAUCUCAUCACUACCUGCAGAUACACAAUCAUUUAUCUCAGGUAUUGUUGACAGUGACACAGUUUAUGGAACAAAAAAUAUCUCAAUUGAUGGCACAAGCUUUGCAAUUGGCAUGUUUGUAUGUACUGGUGCUUAUGCAGCCUUGCCAGAGUUCAAAGAGAUUCGAAACAUCCUACUCAUCAGCGACAAAAUGCAUUUUCUCUUAAAAGACUACGACACUUUGUAUGUUGAGCACUUGAGGUCAUACGAACUAGUCGAGCAUAUACCGGAGAGUCAUAGUGUCAAAUCUGUGUGCCAGCUGUCUGACCACCUGCCACAUUUUGCUUAUAAGAUUGCAAAUGAACUAAUUCUAACAACAAAACAUUUCAUUCCAGUGUCUGACUAAAGAAACAGAACUGAAAUAUCAGCGGAUCUCCCCAGCCCUUCUGCCAGUGUACAGGUAAUGCAUACAUGGCAUGAGAACUCUGAGUGUGUUGAAAUGUCGCUAUAUUAUUUGAAUCCUGUAUGUUACAGGACCUACAACUUCAGAUGGAGGCAACAGAGAGACUGAAGCUAAGGGUCAUCCUUGAUAAUGAUAAUGCUGAAAGACUUAUUCUGCCAUCUCGCCCAAGCAGUGUUCAGGCCCUCAUAGAUGAAAUCAAAACUAGGCUAAAGUUGACUUUUGACUUUAGGCUUCAGUUUGAAGAUCCAGAUUUUGAUCAUGCAUUGUGUAAUUUGGUUGAAAUGGAACACCUCCCAAGCACAGCAUCGGUUAAAAUAAUCAGAUUAGUGGAGCUGGACUUGAUUUCAACCAGCACUAGUGAGACAAGUCUUCUGAACGAUAGCACUGAUGCCAUAGAUUCACCAGAGCGUAUUAGUCGGUGGCCAGAGGUUUUUAUUGUUCCAAAAUUUUCUUAUGAGGUGGAACAUGUGCUAAAGGAAGGUAAUGCAGCAUUUGAAAAAGAUGGGAAACUAAUUAGACUUCCUAGAGAUCAAAAACACAACAUACUCGAGGUAAUGGGGGAAGAAAAUUUUUAAACUGAAGGCAUAUCCUAGUAGCACACAGAUUGGAAAGGCUGCAAAGGCUUUAGUUGAAAAGCAUCCCUGUCUGAAGGAGAACAAUUCUGACACUGGUUGGGAAGGAUGGAAGAAUAGUUUGAGACACAAAAUAGGAAACCAAAGAAAGAAGUUGGCCAAAGCCGGCAUCAGAGAUGUUGCUGUAAACUCUGGAAAGCGCAGCAGAACAAACCCAGAAGGAGCUGCACCAAGAGCCAAUAGUAAAAGACCUAAGAGAGGUGAGGUCAACUUCCUUCCCAGUUGUCCUUCUGGAGAAACAAGAGAGUCUCUGGAGAAAAGGAGGGUUGAUGAUAGAAGAGUUCCGGAAGACCUCUGCUGAAAGGGACAUUCCACUCAUUCAUCAGCACAUGAUGCGCACUUUUUCCCUGAGACGUGAAGAGAUCAUUACAUCUUCUCUUCCUGUAUCAGAGCUUAAGGACAGAUGGCCAGCUCUCUUUAAUGAGACACAUCUCUACUGUGAAUUUCACCGGAUUACCAAUCUUCAUCUACCACAUGUUUUUUAUGCUGCACUGGAUGAAUAUGCUCCUCGGCUGAUUGGACUUUACAAAAAGAAGAAAACUGGACGGGUUGGUGAAAACAUGGACCAGCUGUUGUUGGAAUAUGAGCAACAGGACAAGAAUGACAUCUGCACAACAAGAACAGCAGCCCUGGCUGGCCUGCCGAUUUACCUCAAGGAGGAUUCUUCAGGCAUUUUCAAAACAUGCAAGG